rnacentral:rRNA from 1 species
CAGCAGCCACGGGAAUACGAAGGGGGCUAGCGUUCUUCGGAAUUACUGGGCGUAAAGCGCACGUAGGCGGACAUUUAAGUCAGGGGUGAAAUCCCGGGGCUCAACCCCGGAACUGCCUUUGAUACUGGGUGUCUAGAGUAUGGAAGAGGUGAGUGGAAUUACGAGUGUAGAGGUGAAAUUCGUAGAUAUUCGGAGGAACACCAGUGGCGAAGGCGGCUCACUGGUCCAUUACUGACGCUGAGGUGCGAAAGCGUGGGGAGCAAACAGGAUUAGAUACCCUGUAGUCCCUGUCUCUUAUACA